CCCUACAAUUUCCUCCUCCAGAUGCCCCACUGUGUAGAGGGGGAUGAGGAUGCCGUGCAAUGCUGGGUAACCUUCCCUUCUCUCACAGUGGAGCAUUUUGGACCCUUCUACUGGACCCA
rnacentral:precursor_RNA from 15 species